rnacentral:rRNA from 1 species
GUGCAAGCGUUAUCCGGAUUCACUGGGUUUAAAGGGAGCGCAGGCGGAUUUGUAAGUCAGUGGUGAAAGGCUUAAGCUUAACUUGGGAACUGCCAUUGAUACUAUAAGUCUUGAAUGUUGUUGAGGUUUGCGGAAUGGGUCAUGUAGCGGUGAAAUGCAUAGAUAUGACCCGGAACACCUAUUGCGAAGGCAGCAGGCUAAACAAAUAUUGACGCUGAGGCUCGAAAGCGUGGGGAUCAAACAGGAUUAGAUACCCUGGUAGUCCACGCCCUAAACUAUGAUUACUCGACAUAUGCGAUACACUGUAUGUGUCUGAGCGAAAGCAUUAAGUAAUCCACCUGGGAAGUACGACCGCAAGGUUG